rnacentral:rRNA from 1 species
UACGGGGGGGAGCAAGCGUUGUUCGGAUUUACUGGGCGUAAAGGGCGCGUAGGCGGGCGAUCAAGUCCGGGGUGAAAGCCCCAGCUCAACUGGGGAAGUGCCUCGGAUACUGACGGCCUCGAGGAAGGUAGGGGCAUGCGGAACUGUAGGUGGAGCGGUGAAAUGCGUUGAUAUCUACAGGAACUCCGGUGGCGAAAGCGGCGUGCUGGACCUUUUCUGACGCUGAGGCGCGAAAGCUAGGGGAGCAAACGGG